UAGGGAAUCUUCCGCAAUGGACGCAAGUCUGACGGAGCAACGCCGCGUGAGUGAAGAAGGAUUUCGGUUCGUAAAACUCUGUUGAUAGAGAAGAACAGCGCAUAGAGUAACUGUUAUGCGUGUGACGGUAUCUAACCAGAAAGCCACGGCUAACUACGUGCCAGCAGCCGCGGUAAUACGUCGGUGGCAAGCGUUGUCCGGAUUUAUUGGGCGUAAAGCGAGCGCAGGCGGUCAAUUAAGUCUGAUGUGAAAGCCCCCGGCUCAACCGGGGAGGGUCAUUGGAAACUGUUUAACUUGAGUGCAGAAGGGGAGAGUGGAAUUCCAUGUGUAGCGGUGAAAUGCGUAGAUAUAUGGAGGAACACCGGUGGCGCAAGCGGCUCUCUGGUCUGUAACUGUCGCUGAGGCUCGAAAGCGUCGGGAGCGAACAGG
rnacentral:rRNA from 1 species